GCAAGGAGAAGGUAAUUGUUGCAGUGUGCUGGCGUCUGGCAAACCCGAGACCAUCUGCUGUUGUUGCACGUGCACUUGCAAAAGAGGAAAGGCCAGACCCAUGGCACGUCUAACCUUCUGCGUGAGUGCUCUCCUCCUACUGACCUACUUCUCGCCCGGCGUCCGCGGUGGCUGCCAGACCCUAACUCAGGAAAUAUCGUAACAGUCGAGGAACUCAGCGCGGAUAACGUUCUCCUGGUCUGCGAUGAGGGAUACACCGUUCCCUGUUACGAGACCCGCGUCGUCAAGGCCACCUGCGAAGGGAAUCAGUGGCUCUACGACCCGGACGGACGCGCGUGCUGGUGUCAGUGGC